CAGAGAUCAUAGAAAAAAAUGGGCGCUUCAAAAUUGAGAGGGCUGAGUUUUUUAACCCAGAAUCUGCUAUUAAAGUCUUUUGCAGUGGGCAGGCAUGCACCNNNNNNNNNNNNUGAAGGAAUACUCAGCAAGCACUUUGGAAGUGAGAUUAUAGAUGAAUUGUUCCAUCGACAUUCCAAGAAAACUGAAGAAUUCUCCUCCCGACUGCAGUCUAGCUCCGAUGAAGGAACUCAACUAUUUCUUGCUCUCAAGCGGAAAUGAUUCCUGCACUU
rnacentral:misc_RNA from 1 species